rnacentral:misc_RNA from 1 species
UCCUGGUUUCCCAGGCAGUCCUGCCAGAGUGCUUCCGAAGAAUAGCAACUGACAGCAAGGGUUGCGCUCGUUAGAGGACUUAACCUAACACCUCACGGCACGAGCUGACGACAGCCAUGCAGCACCUGUGCAUCUGUCUAGAUCAAAGACCUAGAAAACUAUGUUUCUAUAGCGGUCAAAAGCAUGUCAAGCCUAGGUAAGGUUCCUCGCGUAGUGUCGAAUUAAACCACAUGUUCCACCGCUUGUGCGGACCCCCGUCAAUUCUUUUGAGUUUUAGUCUUGCGACCGUAGUCCCCAGGCGGAUCACUUAACGCGUUAGCUGCGACACUGAUUCUGCUAAGCAAAACCAACGUCUAGUGAUCAUCGUUUACGGCGUGGACUAC